rnacentral:rRNA from 1 species
GACGAACGCUGGCGGCGUGCCUAAUACAUGCAAGUCGAACGAGAGCGACCGGUGCUUGCACUGGUCAAUCUAGUGGCGAACGGGUGAGUAACACGUGGGUAACCUGCCCAUCAGAGGGGGAUAACAUUCGGAAACGGAUGCUAAAACCGCAUAGGUUCUUGAGUCGCAUGACUGAAGAAGGAAAAGAGGCUUCGGCUUCUGCUGAUGGAUGGACCCGCGGUGCAUUAGCUAGUUGGUGAGGUAACGGCUCACCAAGGCCGUGAUGCAUAGCCGACCUGAGAGGGUGAUCGGCCACAUUGGGACUGAGACACGGCCCAAACUCCUACGGGAGGCAGCAGUAGGGAAUCUUCCGCAAUGGACGCAAGUCUGACGGAGCAACGCCGCGUGAGUGAAGAAGGAUUUCGGUUCGUAAAACUCUGUUGUUAGAGAAGAACAGCGC